AAGGAGGCUCCCUGUGUGGCUCCAUCCUUUCUGGCUUUGCCCUCUCCCUUCUUCCACGUGAUCCCGUUCUCCUUGAGUUCUUGACUUUUUAUAAGGAGUGACCUGGAAGACCGUAAAGAAGCCAUGGCAACAAAGAGCCUUGUGCUCACUACAGCGGAGCAUCCUGCCUUUGUCCAAUCCAGCCCAGUGCGUCAAUCUCUGCAAAUAACAAAAGAUGUGGCCACUCGGCUGCUUGUCCCUGCCCCCACCAGAACACCGAGAGAGGCUGAGGCCUCCCCAACUGGAACUGAGCUAGGAGAGCAGCAGACAGAUACUAAAACACACAGAUGGAGAAGUUAACCACAUGAUGACCAGACUGUACCCACAACAUGAGUUGCCACAAUUCUGAGAACUGGCCUCAAAGAAAUGGGAACAGACGGGACCCUGGAACUGAAGAUUAGCUGUACCUAAAGCAACCAAGAUGAUGCUGGUUCCUCCUGUCCCCGCCGCCCCCAUCCCAGUUGCCGGCAUGUGAAAUAAAGCAAACUUUC